rnacentral:rRNA from 1 species
UCUUAGGACUAAAGGGUGGGACCAUUUGGCCACCUGCCAUAAGAUGAGCCCAAGUGGGAUUAGGUAGUUGGUGAGGUAAAGGCUCACCAAGCCCGCGAUCUCUAGCUGGUCUGAGAGGAUGACCAGCCACACUGGAACUGAGACACGGUCCAGACUCCUACGGGAGGCAGCAGUGGGGAAUAUUGCACAAUGGGGGGAACCCUGAUGCAGCCAUGCCGCGUGAAUGAAGAAGGCCUUCGGGUUGUAAAGUUCUUUCGGUGACGAGGAAGGCGAUUGUUUUAAUAGAACAGUCGAUUGACGUUAAUCACAGAAGAAGCACCGGCUAACUCCGUGCCAGCAGCCGCGGUAAUACGGGGGGUGCGAGCGUUAAUCGGAAUAACUGGGCGUAAAGGGCACGCAGGCGGUUGUUUAAGUGAGGUGUGAAAGCCCCGGGCUUAACCUGGGAAUUGCAUUUCAGACUGGACAACUAGAGUACUUUAGGGAGGGGUAGAAUUCCACGUGUAGCGGUGAAAUGCGUAGAGAUGUGGAGGAAUACCGAAGGCGAAGGCAGCCCCUUGGGAAUGUACUGACGCUCAUGUGCGAAAGCGUGGGGAGCAAACAGGAUUAGAUACCCUGGUAGUCCACGCUGUAAACGCUGUCGAUUUGGGGAUUGGGCUUUAAGCUUGGUGCCCGUAGCUAACGUGAUAAAUCGACCGCCUGGGGGAGUACGGCCGCAAGGUUAAAACUCAAAUGAAUUGACGGGGGCCCGCACAAGCGGUGGAGCAUGUGGUUUAAUUCGAUGCAACGCGAAGAACCUUACCUACUCUUG